rnacentral:rRNA from 1 species
GCUUACGGCCACACCUCCCUGAGCACGCCCGAUCUCGUCUGAUCUCGGAAGCUAAGCAGGGUCGGGCCCGGUUAGUUUGGAUGGGAGACCGCCUGGAAUACCAGGUGCUGUAAGCC